ACGUUCUUUGGUCAAGGAUAUACAAGUAGCUGUGCUCCCCUGCUAGAACCUCCAAACAAGCUCUCAAGGUCUUCCUUCAUUUCUGUCAAUUUUUGCUUUACAUGUUUUGGAGCUCUGUUGUUAGGU
rnacentral:sRNA from 1 species